rnacentral:misc_RNA from 1 species
UUUUAAGUUUCUUGGGGUUGGCAACACAGGUUGGCACAGAUUUUAUAAGGAUAACCUGCAAUUGUCAAUCGUCAAGAUAAUGCAAUCGUCAAGAUAAAAGAACUUAAUCGAUAGUAAUAAACCACUUUCUAAUGACUUCGGAGACAUAAAAGAAACAAUAGGAGAUUUAAAUAAUGACGCAUAAAUUUAAAAAAAAUUAGACUUGAAAGCAAAA